rnacentral:rRNA from 1 species
GGGGCAGCAUGAACUUAGCUUGCUAAGUUUGAUGGCGACCGGCGCACGGGUGAGUAACACGUAUCCAACCUGCCGAUGACUCGGGGAUAGCCUUUCGAAAGAAAGAUUAAUACCCGAUGGCAUAGUUCUUCCGCAUGGUAGAACUAUUAAAGAAUUUCGGUCAUCGAUGGGGAUGCGUUCCAUUAGGUUGUUGGCGGGGUAACGGCCCACCAAGCCUUCGAUGGAUAGGGGUUCUGAGAGGAAGGUCCCCCACAUUGGAACUGAGACACGGUCCAAACUCCUACGGGAGGCAGCAGUGAGGAAUAUUGGUCAAUGGACGAGAGUCUGAACCGGCCAAGUAGCGUGAAGGAUGACUGCCCUAUGGGUUGUAAACUUCUUUUAUACGGGAAUAAAGUGAGGCACGUGUGCCUUUUUGUAUGUACCGUAUGAAUAAGGAUCGGCUAACUCCGUGCCAGCAGCCGCGGUAAUACGGAGGAUCCGAGCGUUAUCCGGAUUUAUUGGGUUUAAAGGGAGCGUAGGCGGACGCUUAAGUCAGUUGUGAAAGUUUGCGGCUCAACCGUAAAAUUGCAGUUGAUACUGGGUGUCUUGAGUACAGUAGAGGCAGGCGGAAUUCGUGGUGUAGCGGUGA